UGUCAAACCAGUGGGCUGCAUUUGU
rnacentral:piRNA from 1 species